rnacentral:rRNA from 1 species
ACGGGGUGCAGCAGGCGCGAAAACUUCGCAAUGUGGGAAACCACGACGAGGGGAAUCCAAGUGCUUGCACAAUGUGUAGGCUGUUUCCAUGCCUAAAAAGCAUGGAGAGUAAGGGCUGGGUAAGACGGGUGCCAGCCGCCGCGGUAAUACCCGCAGCCCGAGUGGUGGUCGUUAUUAUUGGGCCUAAAACGUCCGUAGCCGGCCCGGUAAAUUCGUGGGGAAAUCGGUCAGCUUAACUGACCGAAGUCCGCGGAGACUGCCGGGCUUGGGACUGGGUGAGGUCAGAGGUACUUCAGGGGUAGGGGUAAAAUCCUGUAAUCCUUGAAGGACCACCAGUGGCGAAGGCGUCUGACUAGAACGGAUCCGACGGUAAGGGACGAAGCCCUGGGGCACAAACGGGAUUAGAUACCCCGGUAGUCCAGGGUGUAAACGCUGUGGGCUUGGUGUUGGGAGUCCCACGAGGGCGCCCAGUGCCGGAGAGAAGUUGUUAAGCCUACUGCCUGGGAUACGCUCGCAAG